AACGAACGCUGGCGGCAUGCCUAACACAUGCAAGUCGAACGAGACCUCGGGGCUAGUGGGCCACGGGGGCGUUACGCGGGGGAACCUGCCCUUAGGGUCGGGAUAACUCCCCGUAAGGGGGGGCAAAACCGGGUAAUGUUUUCGGACCAAAGGAUUUUAGCCUUUGGAUGGGCCCGCGUUGGAUUAGCCAGUUGGUAAGGUAAAAGCCUAACAAGGCGACGAUUCAUAGCUGGGCUGAGAGGAUGAUCAGCCACACUGGGACUGAGACACGGCCCAGACUCCUACGGGAGGCAGCAGUGGGGAAUAUUGGACAAUGGGCGAAAGCCUGAUCCAGCAAUGCCGCGUGAGUGAUGAAGGCCUUAGGGUUGUAAAGCUCUUUUACCCGGGAUGAUAAUGACAGUACCGGGAGAAUAAGCUCCGGCUAACUCCGUG
rnacentral:rRNA from 1 species